GACGAACGCUGGCGGCGUGCUUAACACAUGCAAGUCGAACGGAGUGGCGAACGGGUGAGUAACACGUGGGUGACCUGCCUUGCACUUCGGGAUAAGCUUGGGAAACUGGGUCUAAUACCGGAUAGUGCAAGAUGAGCUCGCGGCCUUUCGGCUUGUUGUUGGGGUAAUGGCCUACCCAGGCGUCGCCGGGUAGCCGGCCUGCGAGGGUGUACGGCCGAAUUGGGACUGAGAUACGGCCCAGACUCCUACGGGGGGCAGCAGGGGGGAAUAGUGCACGAUGGGCGGAGGCCUGAUGCAGGGACGCCGCGGGGGGGAUGAAGGCCUUCGGGUUGUAAACUCCUUUCGACAGGGACGCGGUACCUGUAUAAGAAGCGCCGGCUAACUACGUGCCAGCAGCCGCGGUAAUUC
rnacentral:rRNA from 1 species